rnacentral:lncRNA from 1 species
CUCUCCCUACAAUUUUCAAUUUUGAACAGACAAUGCUACACGAAGAGAAUAAAAUCAACAAUUGUUAUCAGGAAUCACAACAGAUAAUUUAAUAUGCCUUUCACAAUAGUAUGCCAUAGGUACUGUUAUAGUAUUUUAUGUACAUGUCAAAUAUUAAUAGUCUGUCCGAAGAUAAACUGUGUUGGCAAAAAUAAGACCACCUGCUGAAACAUAAACAAGAAAGUGCACGCUGAAAUAUUUUGCCUACUUAAUAGUCAUGGCUGAAUGCUACCAAGGUCAGACGAACCAUGCCAGAUGGACAUGCACACCUAUCAAUCGUUCCUUAAAACAAUAUACAGUUUACUGAAUUAGUAUAAAUGUAUUAUCUGAGAUACGGACUUGCCCCCCCCCC